CACUCCCUACCGCGUCCCCUUGAGAUAGAGAAAAACGAGGCCUGGCCCUUGCUCCCUGUGACCCGACCUGCACGUCACACUCCUCCCCCAGGAUGGCCCGGGCCAGCUGCAUCUCCCCCGCCGCCCCGCCGCCGUUACUUUANNNNNNNNNNNNNNNNNNNNNNNNNNNNNNNNNNNNNNNNNNNNNNNNNNNNNNNNNNNNNNNNNNNNNNNNNNNNNNNNNNNNNNNNNNNNCCCCCCCCGCCGUUACUUUAGUGGCGGUCCUUCAACUCAGGCAGCACCACGCCCCUCCCUGCCUCCUCUGCUCUCUGAGGAGCAGCCGAAGUCGCCCCUGACAGAGCUAAGACUGGGGAGGGAUCAGGCCCGCCGCCGAUCUCCAAGUCUCCAAACCCCACUGAGCUGUGAUUGCCCAAGCUGGGUCUCCUGGGGACUCCGGAAAGCAGCGGCAGUUACGACUUGGGCUCCACCGCUUCUGGGAAAUGCAGAGGUGUCCGUCUAGCAGCCGAGUUUCCUGAAGUCCCACGGAACUCUCACCGUGACAGCUGAGGUGACUUAGAGGCCCCAGUACCGCUCCACGAGAUAUCUGCCUUGGCCACAGCAGGCCUGAAAUGUGGAGCUGUCCCAGCUUUGAAACGAGCCCUGCAGGUCCCGCUGGGCACUGCCCAGUUCCCCACCGCACUCUCUGCAGCGCCGGCAGACCUGCUCCUCCCGGGCUGCACCGACAGGGACCUGCAUGGAAGGGCCUGCAGUGCGGAAGUGCAGCUUUUACUGGAAGCCCCUGAGAAGGACAGAUGGCCUCCUUGACUCCCCCAACAGGGACACAUGCUAUGGACUCACAGCAGGGACUGUGUCGGGACAGCUUUAUGCCCAGAGCAGGCACAUCUGGACUCCGCCCCGAAGAAGGGCUGGACUGGGCCGGGACUGGGCUGCGGGUGGGUCCGACCCUGACCUGCAGGAGGUGUCUGGUCUCUGGGAGCAGCACAGAGCUCAGGGGCCAGGCCCGAGGUGCAGGGCUGUGGCCUUCGGAGGAGCAGAUGCCACGCUCCGUGGUGUCCUGGUCCCCAUGGGAGGGGCUAGCGCGGUGGCCGCAGGGCCCAACUGUGUCCUGUGGGAAGCAGCCGAGGGACAGUGGUGCUCAGCUCCUCAGCCGUGGCCUCUGCCCAGUGCUCGCCCUGACCGGGACCUGGAGAGAGAUGCAGUUUUCAACACUGGAUUUGUGACUGGGGCUUCUGUCAUCCAUGUCCAGGGUGUCCCGGGCCUUUCCAUCCUGCUGCCCGUGAGUCUGAGCAGAAACCCCCUUGGGACCUCACCCCCCCACCAGGCCGGGCCUGACCCUUCUGGGCCAGAAGCUGCCGCACACCGGGCCCAGGCCAGGGACUCUGGCCCGAGUGUUGGGGAGCAAGGGGAGAGCAGUGUGCAGUUCCUCCGCUGUGCCCUGCCCUGCCUUUUUGGCCCUGCACCAGCGCACCCCCUGCACCUCCCCGCAGGCUCUGUGCCGAGCGGCAGCUGCUGGGUUGGGGUCCAUGACACCUGCUGCCACCACCUGUGUGGGCGGGGAGGGGAGCCAGCUCUCUGCCCAGCCCAGCCAGGGAAGCCGCCCAGCUGUGGGGGCGGACUGAGCAGGCCCACCCCCGCCCCAGCAGGUGAGCAGCCAGAUGUCACUGUACACAGGCUCAGGCAAGCCGAGGUUCCUCCUUUAGUUCCUGCAGUCCAGUCCAUUCUACCUUGAGCCAGUGUUACCAGUGAUGCAAAAAUGCACAAUCAAUUCCAGAGAAACUCAGAUGAGACCAGAGUGAUAUGCUGGGAGGGGCAUGCCCGGAUCUCUGCCAAGAAGAAAUCCCAAGGGGCUGAGCCCUGAGAGCCAGCAGGGCCAGCCUCGGCCAGCAGGAGGUGCUGCUCCUUUCCGCCAAGCCCCAGGACUGGACCGGCCCAGGCCCUGUCCUGGCUGGGAGACGAGUUGAUGAUUUGUGCUGGACUCGGGGACCACAAGGCCUUGUCCUUGCACCAUGGAAACCCUCUCAGUCUCCUACUCCUGUGCCCCUCCUUGGCAGGCAGCAAAGGUGUCUGGGGAACCUUCCAGAGCCCCUUGCAGCCCGAGGAUGGAUCAGACAGCCAAGGAGUGUGGUCACAGGGUCAGUAGGCACAGGGCCCUGGGUGAGGUCCCAGCAGGAUGCACAGAGCGAGAACCUGAAACCAGGAGGCUAAGCAUGGCCAGGAGGCUAAGCAUGGGGGUUUCAGCAGACACCACAGGCACGUCCGUGUCCCCGCGUCUGUGGGCUGCUAAGUAAGGUUGGCAGGCGGCCUACUGCUGUUUGUACCGCGGUCCCAUUCCUCUGAAAAUCUACGCGUAGUACUCGUGUGCCCUUUUGUAGAAAGAGCUGAGGCAUGCUAAGGACUCAGUCCCGACUGUUCACAGCAAUUUGUCUCCGGUAAUAGGAGGUUUUACUGUUUAAUGUUCGUCUUCUCAGCCUGUCAGUAUCCCCGAGUGCCUUUCCUGCUGUGGAUUUGAGUAAUGGAUCUGCAUUACUUACGCCACUAAACAGAUAGGAAGCUUUUAAAAGCUGGCUUUGUUCCCUGGCUGGUGCCUUCCUGGGCUCAUCCCUCAGCGAGGCUAGAUGGCCCGGGUGUCCCUGUCUUUGUGACAGGCAGGCAGCUUACCUCUCUCCAGACAGCAGAGCCCAAGAACAAGCCGCUCAGGGGCAGGGAAGUUGAAAACCAGACCCAGGACACCAGAGGUGCGGACAUGGCAGUGCGCUGUCACGCACAAGCUGGGAGGCACCAGGAGAGAAGGAAGCCCUGGACAAAGACGCUGGAUGAUUUAUGGUUUGUGUAUGCCUUUGGAAUAAAUUAAUUACCUUUUUAAGAAAGGCCUCCUUCUG
rnacentral:lncRNA from 1 species